rnacentral:rRNA from 1 species
CUCCUACGGGAGGCAGCAGUAAGGAAUAUUGGUCAAUGGCCGAAAGGCUGAACCAGCAACGCCGCGUGAAGGACGAAGAGAUUUUUCUUGUAAACUUCUGUAAGGAGGGAAAAAUAUUCCGGUUUACCGGAAUUGAUUGUACCUUCAGAGUAAGCCCCGGCUAACUACGUGCCAGCAGCCGCGGUAAUACGUAGGGGGCAAGCGUUGUCCGGAUUUACUGGGUGUAAAGGGUGCUCAGGCGGAUUUGUAAGUCAGAGGUGAAACUCCGGAGCUCAACUCCGGAACUGCCUUUGAUACUGCAAGUCUCGAGUUUGGAAGAGGGUAAUGGAAUAUCUGGUGUAGCAGUGAAAUGCGUAGAUAUCAGAUAGAACACCAAUGGCGAAGGCAGUUACCUGGUCCAAUACUGACGCUAAAGCACGAAAGUGUGGGGAGCAAACAGGAUUAGAUACCCUGGUAGUCCACACCCUAAACGAUGAAUACUAGAUGUUGGCCCCUCAGGGGUCAGUAUCUGAGCUAACGCAUUAAGU